ACUAAAGCUAGCCCAAACUAUUACUAUUAUUUGUUAAAAUUCCUAAAUAUAUUAAAAUAAAACAUUCACAAAAUUAAAGUAUAGGAGAUAGAAAUUUUAAAACUGGAGCCAUAGAGAUAGUACCGUAAGGGAACGACUGAAAGAAUAUAUUAAAAGUAAAAAACAGCAAAGAUUACCCCUUGUACCUUUUGCAUAAUGAUUUAACUAGAAAAAUUUUAGCAAAGAGCCCUUAAGUUAAACACCCCGAAACCAGACGAGCUAUCCAUGAACAGCUAUAAUAUUGAGCUAACUCAUCUAUGUAGCAAAAUAGUGAGAAGAUUUAUGGAUAGAGGUGAAAAGCCUACCGAGCCUGGUGAUAGCUGGUUGUCCAGACAAGAAUUUUAGUUCUAAUUUAAAUUUACCUUAUAACACCAUAAUUUAUUUGUAAAUUUAAAUAUUAGUCUAAAAGGGUACAGCCUUUUAGAUUUAGGGUACAACCUAAAUUAGAGAGUAAAAUAUUUUAAUUCCCAUAGUUGGCCUAAAAGCAGCCAUCAAUUAAGAAAGCGUUCAAGCUCAACAGUAAAUUAUAUUCAAAUUUAAACCACUAAUAUUUAACUCCUAAAUUUUUACUGGACUAAUCUAUAUAAUUAUAGAAGUAAUACUGUUAAUAUGAGUAACAAGAUUUUAAUCUCCAAGCGCAAACUUAUGUCAGAUCAAAUAAUAACUGAUAAUUAACAGCCAAAUAAAUAUAAAUUCAAAUUAACUAUUUAUUAUAACACUGUUAACCCAACACAGGAGCGCACAAUUUUAAAGGAAAGAUUUAAAGAAGUAAAAGGAACUCGGCAAACACAAACCCCGCCNNNNNNNNNNNNNNNNNNNNNNNNNNNNNNNNNNNNNNNNAGGCCUGCCUGUCCAGUGACAAUUGUUAAACGGCCGCGGUAUCCUGACCGUGCAAAGGUAGCAUAAUCAUUUGUUCCUUAAAUAGGGACUUGUAUGAAUGGCCACACGAGGGUUUAACUGUCUCUUACUUCCAAUCAGUGAAAUUGACCUUCCCGUGAAGAGGCGGGAAUAUACAAAUAAGACGAGAAGACCCUAUGGAGCUUUAAUUUAAUAACCCAAGAGAAAUUUCAUUUUAUUAACUUAACAAGAUUUUCAAACUGGGUUAAAAAUUUAGGUUGGGGUGACCUCGGAAAAUAGAGAAACUUCCGAGAAACAUAUACUAAGUCUAACAAGACAAAGUAAAUUAUACAAAUUGAUCCAGUCUAACUGAUCAACGGAAUAAGUUACCCUAGGGAUAACAGCGCAAUCCUAUUUCAGAGUUCAUAUCGACAAUAGGGUUUACGACCUCGAUGUUGGAUCAGGACAUCCUAAUGGUGCAGCAGCUAUUAAUGGUUCGUUUGUUCAACGAUUAAAGUCCUACGUGAUCUGA
rnacentral:rRNA from 1 species